rnacentral:rRNA from 1 species
GGCUAACUACGUGCCAGCAGCCGCGGUAAUACGUAGGUGGCGAGCGUGUCNGGAAUUUACUGGGCGUAAAGGGUGUGCAGGCGGAUAUUUAAGUGAGAUGUGAAAGACUCGGGCUUAACCCGGGGCAGUGCAUUUCAAACUGGAUAUCUAGAGUGCAGGAGAGGAGAACGGAAUUCCUAGUGUAGCGGUGAAAUGCGUAGAGAUUAGGAAGAACACCAGUGGCGAAGGCGGUUCUCUGGACUGUAACUGACGCUGAGGCACGAAAGCGUGGGUAGCAAACAGGAUUAGAUACCCUGGUAGUCCACGCCGUAAACGAUGAGUACUAGGUGUAGGGGGUAUCGACCCCCCCUGUGCCGCAGUAAACACAAUAAGUACUCCGCCUGGGAAGUACGAUCGCAAGAUUAAAACUCAAAGGAAUUGACGGGGACCCGCACAAGCAGCGGAGCAUGUGGUUUAAUUCGAAGCAACGCGAAGAACCUUACCUGGACUUGACAUCCCCUGAAUAACUUGUAAUGGAGGAAGCCCUUCGGGGCAGGGAGACAGGUGGUGCAUGGUUGUCGUCAGCUCGUGUCGUGAGAUGUUAGGUUAAGUCCUGCAACGAGCGCAACCCCUGUCGUUAGUUGCCAUCACGUAAAGGUGGGCACCCUAACGAGACUGCCGCGGUUAACGUGGAGGAAGGUGGGGAUGACGUCAAAUCAUCAUGCCCCUUAUGUCCAGGGCAACACACGUGCUACAAUGGGCAGAACAGAGAGAAGCAAUACCGCGAGGAGGAGCAAAUCUCAAAAACUGCCCCCAGUUCGGAUUGCAGGCUGAAACCCGCCUGCAUGAAGUUGGAGUUGCUAGUAAUCGCGAAUCAGCAUGUCGCGGUGAAUACGUUCCCGGGUCUUGUACACACCGCCCGUCACACCAUGAGAGCUGGCAACACCCGAAGUCCGUAGUCUAACCAAAAGGAGGACGCGGCCGAAGGUGGGGUUAGUGAUUGGGGUGAAGUCGUAACAAGGUAGCCG